AUACCCGGUUGGGAUGACGGUACCCAAAGAAUAAGCACCGGCUAACUUCGUGCCAGCAGCCGCGGUAAUACGAAGGGUGCAAGCGUUACUCGGAAUUACUGGGCGUAAAGCGUGCGUAGGUGGUCGUUUAAGUCCGUUGUGAAAGCCCUGGGCUCAACCUGGGAACUGCAGUGGAUACUGGGCGACUAGAGUGUGGUAGAGGGUAGCGGAAUUCCUGGUGUAGCAGUGAAAUGCGUAGAGAUCAGGAGGAACAUCCAUGGCGAAGGCAGCUACCUGGACCAACACUGACACUGAGGCACGAAAGCGUGGGGAGCAAACAGGAUUAGAUACCCUGGUAGUCCACGCCCUAAACGAUGCGAACUGGAUGUUGGGUGCAAUUUGGCACGCAGUAUCGAAGCUAACGCGUUAAGUUC
rnacentral:rRNA from 1 species